AUGUUUUUUUUUCAAAUCCUUCAUAUUCAUUCAUUAAUUUUUCAGCUAUGGGCAAAGGCACCAUCCUAUGACACGAUUCAAUCAAAUUUCCGUGUACCUCUGUCAAUGAUUCAGGAAUGGAUCAAUCCAAAAAAAAGUUUUUCUUUUCUUAUCAAAUCUUUUGGACAUUGUUUGAGUGAAACAGAGAAAAUUCAACGAAUGUCUCAUUUUUCUUUUUUAUUCACUUCCGAUAUUAAAGCUAAUAUUAAAAAUCCCGAUACAAAACUGGUUAUAUUCGAGAAAUGGGAGCGCAGUGCAGUAUGCGACAGCCCCACACUGCAACAAGUCUUCUUUACACGAACUAUUGAAGCAUCACCUUCUCGUUUACCUUGGUUUUCUAAAUAUUCUUUGAAAUCAAGGCCCAUUCUGGGACCAACUACAUUAGAUCAUGAAUUAAGUUUUCUUAUGGCAAAUCAAGCUAAAAUCACACCCGGAACUAUUGUUUUAGAUCCUUUCUGUGGCACGGGUAGCUUACUUUUAGCUGCAUCACACUUUGGUGCAUUGACUCUUGGAGGGGAUAUUGAUUCAAGAGUGUUGAAGGGUUGGGGUGUGUCCCGUUUUAAUCUAAAUGUUCCAGUUCUCUCAGAAAAUACGUCAAUUUUCCAAAAUUUCAUUCACUACGACUUACCAGUACCCGAAAUUCUUCGAAUAGACAUAGCUGCAUGGACACGAUACCCAGUGAAGGCGAUGACUUCAUAUAUCAAACCAUGGAUCGAUGUUAUACUUACAGAUCCUCCUUAUGGUGUCCGUGCUUGCGUUCGUCAUGUGGCCUGUAGCACAAACAUGGGAGAAGAAAACACUGUUGACAAGAACGCUGACUUUAUUCCUGCCACACAUGUAACAACAACAACAUGUGUCAUAAAGUGCGUGAAAAGAAAAUGUUUUCUCUUGCAAAUUGUUGUUGUUCAUUGUAGUUCUUUACUGGACAUUGCCUCCUUGUUACUUGUUGAUCAUGGUUUACUUGUAUUUUUAUGUCCUGUUAUUGAAAUCAAUGCCCUUAAUGAUAUUGAGGCUUUAAAACAUCCAGAUUUAAAAUUAAAAGCGGCAAGUCUUCAGAGUUUGUCAAAAGGUACUGCUCGCGUUCUUUUAACAUACUGCAGAAUCGCUCGAACAAGUUUAUAAUUUUUACAUUUCAAAAACAAUUUAAAAAUAAAAUUUUUUUUUUGUGGAUUAUGCGUGCGACAAUGUGUAGAUUAACAGAAAAUUAAACAGUUGAGAGUGAAAAAAAAAAUUCACAGACAUUUUUUUUUGUUUUUAAUGAAGAAACAUGUCAAUUGUUUUUUUUUUUACCGACUCUAAUAGCUUAUUUGAAAAAAUGCUUGCCUGAAAAAAAAUAUUAAAUGCAUGUCCCAAUGCAAACACCGUGUACAGAACAGAGAGCAGUCGUUUAAAAAAACAAGUCUUUCGAAGUUUUUUGUUUUAUUUUUAAUUAAAAGAAAUACCUUGGACGAAAAAAAUGCAAACAAAUUUUUUCUAUUAAUAUAACUAAUUAUUUUAUUAAUAAAAAGAUGUUGCGUUGGUUUUUUUUGACUGGAUUAUGUAUGAAAUCCACGGUUUGUUGAUGAACAAAAUUUUCUUAUAUUUUUUUAAAAGAUAAACAAGUCGAAAUAUUUCUUUUGAAGCUUAAGGUUUUCUGAGACAUUUCGGUUAACAAGUAUAAAAAUGUUUCAAGGGGGUGUACAACAAGAGGCAUUGCGAGGAGCAAACAUGAAAAGAAAACGAUUUUUUCGAUUCCAAUCCGUACCGUUUGCUCCUUAUAGCAAUGAGAAAGAAUGUUUGCAGCAAUACACAAUGUAUGAUUUCUAUAAUUCUUUUUCUAAAGAAUAUUUUCAUCGUAUUAUGCAACUUCCUAUAUGUAUGCGUUAUGCACCACCAUGGAAGCUAGGAAUGCACACCAAUUGGUUAAUUAAUGAUAACGUAGACCCUGAAUCAGUGUGUUAUAAAGAGUCGCAUACGCCUUCGGUUUUUCAAAAACAAUGGACAGGGUUACCUUUACAAGAACUGACGAACCAUCGUUUGAAAAUAAGACAAAAAAAUGUCACUGAUGGACUAAAAGAAAGUUGUUCGGGCGUACUAACAACAACAGCGACCAUAGGAGUGUCAUCCGACAAAUUGGAUUUAUCUUCUAAAGAGGAAGCAUGUUGCCUUCCACGCUGGUCUGCGUCUUCAGAGAUUCAUACCAGUGGUACGAGGUUAUUUUAUGAAAAGAAACAAACUCCAGUUUCUCUUUCUUUAACUCAUUCUCUUGUUGUAGUUCUUACUCUUUAUCUAAAUUGCUUUUUUUCCUAUAAUAAAAAAAGCAAUUAGAAUGUUUUAAAAAAAAAACGUUCUAGUUUUUUUGUUUUCUUUUGAAUCGCCGUCAAAAAAUUAAAUUUUUUCUUUGGGUUCUACUUUUCAACGUAUAGGCAUCUCAGUUGAAAAAGUUAUUACUCAUAGUGUUCAACUCUAUCCUACUACUGGAUCUAAGAAAACCUCGUUAUCCUUAGAGGUUCUCCAAGAAUUAGAUAAACAUUAUUCUACUAAUUCGGCUCCUUGGAUUGUUGAUGACUCCACCACCUUACCAGGUGUGUAGUUGAAAAAGUUGAUAUCAAGUCAACUGGAAACAUGCACGUAUAAAAAAUAUGAAACACCUGCACGUAGUAGCCAUAGUUUUAUUAUUAACUUAUUUUUAUGCCUUAUUACUUCAAUAAUAAUUAUACAUAUCAUGUUUUGCAAUGCUACCCCACGCUCCCGUAGUCGCUACCUCUGAAAAGUCUCUAGUUCGUCACUCGCCAACGGGUCUCAAUGCGUCCGCCAUUGGAACAACCUGUAGUAGCCAUGGGGAAUAUCCUUCAAAUUGUAUGAAUACAGCAUUUUUAUUACAUGUCAAAGACACUGUUGCAAGAAAACAAAUGCAAUCGAAAGAAGCGCUACGAUUAAAAAAAAAUAGUAACCCUCAGUUUAAAUGUGAACAGACAUCAAGUGAAGAUUAUGUCUUAUCUCAUGAUCAUUGUGUAUCUUUUAAUACUCUUUAUCCUACUUGUAAGAAUGGACAUAAGGAUGAAUGCAUGUCUGAAAGAAGCGAUCGGUCAACAGUGGCAGGGAAAGUGAACUUCAAACGUCCACAGCCUUCCUCACGCGUGAAAUUGUCCAACGAAAAGAUUUUUGUAAAAAGCCAUGAUACUUCGACAGUUUGUCCCUCUGUUGCAUGGAAUACGUUUAAUUCUGGUGAGAAAAAAAAAAGCCGCCGAAUAACGAUGAUGCAGCGUAAUUCUCUUCGCGCACAAGCGAAGUUGACUUGUGAUUCUCGACUGUUACUGAGAAAAACGACGGUGUCACCCUUAGGUCAAGGCCGUCAACGUUUGGAUGCGAAAUUAGCUGUAAGGAACCAUAAUUUUGUGAAAAACCACCGUUCACCGCAACGUUCAAAAAAAUCAGUAACUAUUCCAUCCCAUCAACAUAACCAAAAAAAAUUGACUAAAGAUUAUCAACGCUGGUUAAUGGAAGUGUUAAACGAAUUACAAAAACAACGCGAUAUGGGUUUAAUUGUGCCUUCUCGAUUUGAACGAAAAAAACAACGAGUACUUAAUUUCUUGCAAAGCCUAGGUGGAGAUGUAUUAUCUAUUGUACCAAUACCAUCCCCAACUCCAUGUACUAAUUUUUUUUCUUCUAAAAAUCCAUCGUUUCAAGCAGCAGUGCCCGGUUUUUCAAAUCACACAAUGCCAGCAAAAAAAAAAAUGUUACCUAGUAUAAACUCUCUUCAAUUUCUUCCAAAUCAACCUUUUCCUUUAGUCACAAAAAGAAAUUUUUGUAAAACGAUCGACAUCACACCUUAAUUCUUUCAUUCUACAACUUGUUAUGUUGACAUUCCUGUUAAAAAAAUAUUACAUAACAAAUGUUUUGGGGACACAGAGUUUGCAAUUAUAAAUAACUCAUUUUAACUUCGUUUCUCCGUGACUUUUUUUCUAGUGUACAAUAAAACAAAAUUCUGACGUUUUAUCAGUAUUCCUUAGCUUCAGUCAAAAAUUAAGACCAUUACUGUUAAAAACAUCUUUUAUUGUAGAGAUUAAUUUUUUUUGUGUUUUAAUGCAUUGAAGCAUUACGAUUAAUUAAUGUAAAUAUUUGUGUAAAUAAUUUAUUGUCACCCUUUUUUUCAUUUGUAAAUUAAAAGAUUAUUUAAAAAUAAAAAAUUAAAACUAUUAAUGUAUGACAA